AUAAUAUAAAGUUUAGAUUGUGGACACUUCUUUUAUUGUAUUUUGAGUAUUUUAGUGUAUCUUGAAUUUUAUAAAAUAAAAUAAAGUGCUAUUUUAAGAUUAAAAAGUAGAAAACUGUUGUAUUAUUAGUCCUAUACCUUUAUAAUGUAAUUAUUUACGUUAUAUCAGCAAAUUAAUUAAUGCUUAUGAGAACAAAACCGUAUUUUGUACAUGUUAAAUGGAACCCGUUUUACGCGAAUUCGAUAUACGCGGCGAUUUCGCGGAACGUAUGUAUCGCGUAUAACGGGAUCUACCUGUAUAUAAGAAAAUUUGCUGCAGUUUUUAACUUCGUUUUAUAUUCUGCUGUUACAAUGUAUGUAUUGUAUUGUAUUGUAUCGUAUCAUUAAUCAAAAAGGUAUCAAUUACAUGUUUUUUGUAAUUACAUAGGAC
rnacentral:lncRNA from 1 species